GCCUUUCUGCCUUCGGGCAUUUGGUCUUAUUGAAACGAUACAGAGAAGAUUAGCAUGGCCCCUGCACUAAGGAUGACACGCUCAAUCAAAGAGAAGCUCCAAGUUUUU
rfam:Coccidioides immitis H538.4 cont1.114, whole genome shotgun sequence.